rnacentral:sRNA from 1 species
GCCAGGUGUGGUGACACACACCUGUAAUCCCAGCAGCUCAGGAGGCUAAGGCAGGAGGAUCGCAAGUUCAAAGCCACCCUCAGCAACUUAGCAAGAUUCUGUCUCUA